rnacentral:rRNA from 1 species
AACGUAGGUGGCAAGCGUUGUCCGGAAUUACUGGGUGUAAAGGGAGCGCAGGCGGGGGUGCAAGUUGGAAGUGAAACCCAUGGGCUCAACCCAUGAACUGCUUUCAAAACUGCAUUUCUUGAGUGGUGUAGAGGUAGGCGGAAUUCCCGGUGUAGCGGUGGAAUGCGUAGAUAUCGGGAGGAACACCAGUGGCGAAGGCGGCCUACUGGGCACUAACUGACGCUGAGGCUCGAAAGCAUGGGUAGCAAAC